CCAAUAGCGUAUAUUAAAGUUGUUGCAGUUAAAAAGCUCGUAGUUGAAUUUCGGGGUCAGCAGGUUGGUCGUGCCAAUGGUAUGAACUGGCCUUGCUGAUUCCUCCCUCUUGAUGAGCCGUAAUGCCAUUAAUUUGGUGUUGCGGGGAAUCAGGACUGUUACUUUGAAAAAAUUAGAGUGUUCAAAGCAGGCAAGCGCUUGAAUACAUUAGCAUGGAAUAAUGAAAUAGGACGUUUGAUCCUAUUUUGUUGGUUUCUAGGAUUGACGUAAUGAUUAAUAGGGAUAGUUGGGGGCAUUAGUAUUCAAUUGUCAGAGGUGAAAUUCUUGGAUUUAUUGAAGACUAACUACUGCGAAAGCAUUUGCCAAGGAUGUUUUCAUUAAUCAAGAACGAAAGUUAGGGGAUCGAAGACGAUCAGAUACCGUCGUAGUCUUAACCAUAAACUAUGCCGACUAGGGAUCGGAUGAUGUUAAUUUUUUAAUGACUCAUUCGGCGCCUUAC
rnacentral:rRNA from 1 species